UAAGUCCCGCAACGAGCGCAACCCUCGUCGUUAGUUGCUAACAGUUCGGCUGAGAACUCUAACGAGACUGCCUGGGCAACCAGGAGGAAGGUGAGGACGACGUCAAGUCAUCAUGGCCCUUACGUCCAGGGCUACACACGUGCUACAAUGGGGCAUACAAAGAGCAGCGAUACCGCGAGGUGGAGCAAAUCUCAAAAAUGCCUCCCAGUUCGGAUAGCACUCUGCAACUCGAGUGCUUGAAGUUGGAAUCGCUAGUAAUCGUAGAUCAGCAAUGCUACGGUGAAUACGUUCCCGGGCCUU
rnacentral:rRNA from 1 species